CAUUCUAAGCGGUGGAUCACUAGGCUCGCGGGUCGAUGAAGAACGGGGCCAGUCCCGAGAAUAAGUGCGAAUUGCAGACACAAAGAGCAUCGACUUUUCGAACGCAUAUUGCGGUAUCGGGCCUGCUCGAUACCACGCCUAUCUGAGGGUCGAA
rnacentral:rRNA from 1 species